CUUGUUUAGUUAGCCAAAUUAAUUGAUAUAGGUUUCCCGUUUCUACCAUCUCCAUUUCUAAUUGGUACCAACCCGCUUCCUCUGAACUUAAGAGUUGCGUCUUAUAUAUAUGAAACAUCAUAUUGGCUAAAUAGGUUAUAUUGACGUUUGGAAAAUUUAUCCCUCCUUUCCUCCUCUUCUGCAUCAAAAGUUUUUUAUUCAUCCUCGGC